rnacentral:pre_miRNA from 1 species
AUUAACAUUAUCUUCUCAAAUUUUGAUUGUUGCUCAGAAAGCCGUAAUGUUUAACUCCGGCGCUCGGGCAACAAUCAACUAAUGAUGGAGGUAUGAAGUCA